rnacentral:rRNA from 1 species
AAUGAACGUUGGCGGCGUGGAUUGGCAUGCAAGUCGUGCGCGAAUCGUAGCAAUACGAGGAGAGCGGCGAAAGGGAGAGGAUAGCAUAGAUACCUACCCUCGGACCUGGGAUAGCUAUGGGAAACUAUAGGUAAUACCAGAUAAUGUCUCCGGACCAAAGGUGUGAUUCCGUCCGGGGAGGGGUCUAUGUCCUAUUAGCUUGUUGGUGAGGUAACGGCUCACAAAGGCAAAGAUGGGUACGAGGCGGGAGAGCGUGUCCUCGCUCACUGGGACGGAGACACUGCCCAGACACCUACGGGUGGCUGCAGUCGAGAAUCUUCGGCAAUGGGCGCAAGCCUGACCGAGCGACGCCGCGUGUGGGACGAAGGCCUUCGGGUUGUAAACCACUGUAAGUGCGGAGGAAAUAUAGGGGGGUUCUCCCCAUUAUUUGACCUAUGCGCAGAGGAAGGACGGGCUAAGUUCGUGCCAGCCGCCGCGGUAA